rnacentral:rRNA from 1 species
UGAAGAAUAUUGCACAAUGGAGGAAACUCUGAUGCAGCAACGCCGCGUGAAGGAUGAAGGUUUUCGGAUUGUAAACUUCUUUUGUCGGGGACGAAAAAAAUGACGGUACCUGACGAAUAAGCCACGGCUAACUACGUGCCAGCAGCCGCGGUAAUACGUAGGUGGCAAGCGUUAUCCGGAUUUACUGGGUGUAAAGGGCGAGUAGGCGGGAUCAUAAGUCAGAUGUGAAAUCUGGGGGCUCAACCCCCAAACUGCAUUUGAAACUAUGAUUCUUGAGUGAUGGAGAGGCAGGCGGAAUUCCCGGUGUAGCGGUGGAAUGCGUAGAGAUCGGGAGGAACACCAGUGGCGAAGGCGGCCUGCUGGACAUUAACUGACGCUGAGGAGCGAAAGCGUGGGGAGCAAACA